GCCAGUGUGGUGUAGUGGUUAAGAGCGGUAGACUCGUAAUCUGGUGAACCAGGUUCGCUUCCUGGCUCCUCCACAUGCA
rnacentral:tRNA from 1 species